rnacentral:rRNA from 1 species
AGUGAACGCUGGCGGUAGGCCUAACACAUGCAAGUCGAACGGCAGCACAGUAAGAGCUUGCUCUUACGGGUGGCGAGUGGCGGACGGGUGAGGAAUACAUCGGAAUCUACUUUUUCGUGGGGGAUAACGUAGGGAAACUUACGCUAAUACCGCAUACGACCUACGGGUGAAAGCAGGGGAUCUUCGGACCUUGCGCGAUUGAAUGAGCCGAUGUCGGAUUAGCUAGUUGGCGGGGUAAAGGCCCACCAAGGCGACGAUCCGUAGCUGGUCUGAGAGGAUGAGCAGCCACACUGGAACUGAGACACGGUACAGACUCCUACGGGAGGCAGCAGUGGGGAAGAUUGGACAAUGUGCGCAAGCCGGAUCCAGCCAUACCGCGUGGGUGAAGAAGGCCUUCGGGUUGUAAAGCCCUGUUGUUGGGAAAGAAAAGCAGCAGGUUAAUAACCCGCUGUUCUGACGGUACCCAAAGAAUAAGCACCGGCUAACUUCGUG